CGAAAUGUUCUAGUAUAAGCACUUUAUACUGUGAACUGCGAAUGGCUCAUUAAAUCAGUUAUCGUUUAUUUGAUAGUACCUUACUACAUGGAUACCUGUGGUAAUUCUAGAGCUAAUACAUGCUAAAAACCUCGACUUCGGAAGGGGUGUAUUUAUUAGAUAAAAAACCAAUGCCCUUCGGGGCUCCUUGGUGAUUCAUAAUAACUUAACGAAUCGCAUGGCCUUGCGCCGGCGAUGGUUCAUUCAAAUUUCUGCCCUAUCAACUUUCGAUGGUAGGAUAGUGGCCUACCAUGGUGGCAACGGGUAACGGGGAAUUAGGGUUCGAUUCCGGAGAGGGAGCCUGAAAAACGGCUACCACAUCCAAGGAAUGCAGCAGGCGCACAAUUUACCCAAU
rnacentral:rRNA from 1 species